CACUCCUACGGGAGGCAGCAGUGGGGAAUCUUGCGCAAUGGGCGAAAGCCUGACGCAGCCAUGCCGCGUGAAUGAUGAAGGUCUUAGGAUUGUAAAAUUCUUUCACCGGGGACGAUAAUGACGGUACCCGGAGAAGAAGCCCCGGCUAACUUCGUGCCAGCAGCCGCGGUAAUACGAAGGGGGCUAGCGUUGCUCGGAAUUACUGGGCGUAAAGGGAGCGUAGGCGGACAUUUAAGUCAGGGGUGAAAUCCCGGGGCUCAACCUCGGAAUUGCCUUUGAUACUGGGUGUCUUGAGUAUGAGAGAGGUGUGUGGAACUCCGAGUGUAGAGGUGAAAUUCGUAGAUAUUCGGAAGAACACCAGUGGCGAAGGCGACACACUGGCUCAUUACUGACGCUGAGGCUCGAAAGCGUGGGGAGCAAACAGGAUUAGAAACCCCGGUAGUCCCAUGAU
rnacentral:rRNA from 1 species